UGACUUCUGACCCCGAGAGAGAUCUUAGCGCUAGCUUCCAACGAUGUUUGCUUUAUGCAAAUAAGAAACAAAAGCUGUCAUAAAGGGUGUGGAAAUGCCGUGGAGAAUUGCCUCCCAACAUUCUGUGGGUAUGACAGAGGCAGAUGGAGAAUGUGAGAGAAUGACUUCUUAUUAUAAGAAGUAAUAAGAAAAUUCCCUCCGGUGUGUGAAUAGAAGCUUCAUGUCCCCAAGAGGAUUUGCACUUGAAAAGAGAUUUAAAAACAAAGCACAGAUCCCACACAAACGAAGCUAUACAAGGUGAAACUCCAGAAAGUGUGAUUAAGUGAGGAGAUUUUCCGAAGUAGGGAAGAUACUUGGGGGCAACAGGAACUUUCCACAGGUGGCUCCCAGUGACACACCAGUCUAUCUCCUACAGCCUUGAAGCCUUUUCUGCCCACCCUCAGGCCCAGCUUCCUGCCACUUUGCUUUCCACGGGGCGACUUCCUGGAACAUGUGACCCUUACCUCAGGGUAAGGUCCUUAAAACCUGACACAGAACUAUCCCUGCUGCCACAUCUCUCCUCUUAACUUCACGCCAGGAGGCUUACCUCAUAUCACAAAAGCAAUGUACAUUCAUUCAUAAGAAAUCAAAUGGGCAGCUUAUUUGAAAGGCGGAUUCCGAGAUCUAGAUUCUGAUUCAGUCGUUUGGGACGCAGCCCAGAACGUUUUUAUAAACCUCCUUCCCCCAGGUGGUUCAGAUGCACUAGGCAGACUAUACUUAGAAAACCCAGCGCCCCAGGGAGAGGGGCUGAGCUAUUAGUUCAGCUUGCCCUCCAGAAUCUCCAGCUAACUCUUUUCUAGUAAGUUCUGACUUCCUGUGUUGCUGAUGGAGCGAGGCCAUCUGCUCACAACCUUAAAACUAA